rnacentral:rRNA from 1 species
UACGUAGGGGGCAAGCGUUGUCCGGAAUCAUUGGGCGUAAAGCGCGUGUAGGCGGCUUGGUAAGUCCGUUCUGAAAGCCCGGGGCUCAACCCCGGGAGGCGGAUGGAUACUGUCAAGCUUGAGUCCGGAAGAGGCGAGUGGAAUUCCCGGUGUAGCGGUGAAAUGCGCAGAUAUCGGGAAGAACACCCGUGGCGAAGGCGGCUCUCUGGGACGGUACUGACGCUGAGACGCGAAAGCGUGGGGAGCGAACAGG